UACGAAGGGGGCUAGCGUUGUUCGGAAUUACUGGGCGUAAAGCGCACGUAGGCGGAUUUGCCAGUCAGGGGUGAAAUCCCGGGGCUCAACCUCGGAACUGCCUCUGAUACAGCAAGUCUUGAGUCCGGAAGAGGUGGGUGGAAUUCCUAGUGUAGAGGUGAAAUUCGUAGAUAUUGGGAAGAACACCGGUGGCGAAGGCGGCUCACUGGCUCGUAACUGACGCUCAUGCACGACAGCGUGGGGAUCAAACAGG
rnacentral:rRNA from 1 species